GUCGUCUAGUGGCAGGACAGCGGACUUUGAAUCCGUCAACGGAGGUUCGAAUCCUCCC
rnacentral:tRNA from 1 species